AUCAACUCUAGUACUAACUAUAGGUUCAAAUGUACUACUGUUUUAUUAGGUUUCUAUUUUUAGAGUGCUGUUGACAAUGUUUUUGAAUGCUGUAUACCCCCCACAUAUCCUGAGUUUUCUUGUAUGAUAUUGCAAAGUUGUGUGAUUUAAAAAAAAAAUGCAUAUGCCACAUUAUAGCAGACUGACUAAUUUGCCAGGGAGGAUUGAAUUGUUUGUAUAUUUAUUAGGUUAAAUGCAACUUAAAUUCAGUAAAACACCAUUACAAAGAUUUCGGCUAUAUCCCUACUUCUGUUUUGGUUCUAUCCAUUUCAUUUUCCUUGCAACAAAAUAGUGACUCAGAGUGAAAUGGAAAUCUUUGUAAUGGCUAUUAUAGUAUAUUUCUCUAUAAUUAAUUUUUUAUUUUGAUUAUGUAAAAUUACACAGAAAAUAAAGGCUACCCCUGAUCGAACAAAGAAAAUGACUAAAAAAAUGGAAAAGAAAAAAGACAAAGGAAAAUCUGAGGAAUUGAAAGAGAAGACGUCUACAGGAAAAAACCUUAAAAUAAAAGACGAUUUGCUUCAAGUCCAGAAAGAAGCAUUUGCUCUGGAACUUGAGAACAAAUUACUUCAAGAACAACUGAAACAGGCUUUACAGGUAAAGGAUAUCAUAUUCUUUAAAAAUUGUUAGCAAAUGAUAGAAAUAUAUAAA
rnacentral:lncRNA from 1 species